AGAGUAGUACUGAGCAUUCAUGUCUGUGUCUGCUGGUUGAAAUGAAUUCUCAUCAUUUGCAGCUUACUCCUCCUCGGGCUGUUCUCACCAGAUGAUGUAAGCUUGCUCUUCCCUUCUUCAAUUAAGAUAACAGCAAGGAUUUCCUAUCUGAAAAGUCCAUCUGCCCUUGCAGGAGAAUUUUGCAUGUCCGAUGAACAGUCUGUGAUAAAGAAGAUUUAGGAUGAGGAGAAAGAAACGAGUGCAGGUUUAUGAUUUCAGAUACAUCCACCCAGUAGAUGAUAAAUCUGGAUACAUUAACCGGGUGUUGGACUGUAGAGAAGAAGAUAACGAGUCUCUAUCCUGUCUGCAGAUGCUGCCUAAUUUGCACAUGGAGAGAGCUUUCUGGUCUUGUGGAAGAUAAGCUCAUGGAGGAACUGGACAAUGACACUCACCCAAGAAACAUGGCAGGUCCAAGAUUCUAAACCACCAAAAAGAAAACACCUAUUCCAUUUCCCCUCAUCUGAUGUAUGCAACGAUUCAUGAUGAUAUGUCCUGUUCUUGGAUCAUCCUACAGGAUAUAGUAUACAGACAAUGCAUUCAUCAAACAAGUGUUCCUUUUCCCCAUAUACUUCUCAGAAUUUAAGUUGAAACUGUGUAAAGAAUCGUUUGUUUCUUUUUCCUGAAAGCAAAUCCUUGAUCCAACUUCUGAAUUUACAGUCCAUGUCAUUAGAUCUCAGAAAGCUGUAGUCAUUCCGAACAAACAGAGUGGCAGACAUGCACCAAUUUUCUUGUGCCUCCAUAGAUCCAGGAACAUUUCUUCUCUCUGAUGCCACUCCAUCAUUCUUCUCCUUUUGGUUCUCGCUGCCAUAGGAUGGAUGCUACUUGACGAAAAAACUUGUUUUCUUUCUCAUCAAGUUUUGGCGGAGCGGCUGGGCUGAGCAUGGAUUUGCACAGGGUUCAGUGGUGAAGGAGAUGAUGCACUAAUUAUGGCUAUGACUGAUUCAUGAUUCAGCUUUGUUCUUAUCAUUUUCUUCAACUCUUAUGUAAUUAGUUUCUCAGCAAUUGGAAAGGAAGAUUGUUAUUAAUAUCUGAGGUGUUUAGUUUGAUCUAAUAUUUGAGAUGUCUGCUCAUGGCAGGGAUGCAUAUUCUGCAACAGUCUAUUUCCAUGUCUCCUGUUGUACAUCAAAGACGCUCAUCAACCAUCACCGCAUACAGAGUCUUGAGUACAUGAAGGAGAAACACAAGCAAUAUACUGCUACAAGAGUAUUUGACGCCAUCAAAUAUG
rnacentral:lncRNA from 1 species